rnacentral:rRNA from 1 species
GACGAACGCUGGCGGCGUGCCUAAUACAUGCAAGUAGAACGCAGUGGCGAACGGGUGAGUAAUGCGUAGGUAAUUGCCUCAUAGCGGGUGAUAACUAUUGGAAACGAUAGCUAAUACCGCAUACUGUGAGAUGGACAUGCGUUGUAUUAGGUAGUUGGUGCGGGAAAGGCUAACCAAGGCGAAGAUACAUAGCCGACUUGAGAGGGUGAUCUGCUCAACUGUGACCUGGGAACGGCUCAGACUCCUACGGGAGGCAGCCGUAGGGAAUUUUCGGAAAUGGACGGAAGUCUUACCGAGGAACGCCGGGUGAGUGAAUGAGGGUUUCGGGUCCGAAAGCUCUGUUUUUAGAGAAGCGGUAACUAACCAGAAAGGCACGGCUAACUACGUGCCAGCAGCCGCGGUAAUUC